rnacentral:rRNA from 1 species
UACGUAGGGAGCAAGCGUUGUCCGGAAUCAUUGGGCGUAAAGCGCGCGUAGGCGCUCGAUCAGUCUGUUGUGAAAGUCAAAGGCUCAACCUUUGAAUGCCGAUGGAUACUGUCGAGCUAGAGUCCGGAAGAGGCGAGUGGAAUUCCUGGUGUAGCGGUGGAAUGCGCAGAUAUCAGGAGGAACACCGGUGGCGAAGGCGGGUCUCUGGGCAGUAACUGACGCUGAGGAGCGAAAGCGUGGGGAGCGAACAGG